UUCAUUUCUGCUGAGCCACAAAAGGAACUCCUCACACAAUGUUUAGAUGUUCUAGUUUGCAAAUGGUGGGGGAGUGCUGAUUUCCAGCCGUGAUCCUUAUGGCAAGACUUGACUUCCUUUUCCUCUUACCUAUCUUUGAUGGGAAGGGUGUCUUUGGUAGAGUAAAGAGUCUGGGACUUGGUUAAUAAAAAUAAUGUCUUGAGGUUAAAAUAAAUAGAUGCUCAAUACUAGGUGGGGAAAAAAGUUCAUCUUUCUUAGAAGAAAAUGCUAGUGGUUCUUAAAACUCUCCAAAAGUGGUCCCCAAACCAGCAGCUUUAGCAUCACUGGGAGCAUGUUAGAAAAGCAGAUUCUCAGGAUCCUUCUCAGGCCUUCUAAGUCAGAAACUCUGGAGCUACAAUUGUCUGUAUUUUAAUAAGCCCUCCAGAUGAUUCAGACACUUGCUCUGAGCUACAGGGUUACAUAAUAUCUGUUUGCUUCUUUUUUCCCCCAUAAUAAUAGAACAAUCAGGGCAGCAGUAGGUUCAGCUAAAAGGUAACAUUCCUUAUCAUACCUGACAGUAGAAUUGACCUGUGUGAUGCAAGCAGAAGUCACUGGGUGGGGAUUCUGGGAAGCUUCAUUAAGGCAGUAGGGCAGCCUCCACUAUCAGAAAAUGCCCUUCUUAUUUUUGCCCCCUUUCUUUUACUUUCUGCCUGAACUAGAAGUCCAGUAGCCGUCUUGGACCAUGAGACAACCUUGAAGAUGGACGUGACAACCUAAGGAAAGUGGAGCAGGUUGAAGGAGCAUUGACCCCUGAUAACGAGGUGCUACCAUUACUAGCUCUGUACUUCCUUCUUUCAUCUUCUUUAGACUUACAGUUGACUUUUGGACCAUGUAGAGAUUUAGAGGUGCUGACACUCAGUAACUAAAAAUCCACAUAUAAUUUUACAGUUGGCCCUCCUUCUUUGGGGUUCCUCAUCUGCAGAUUCAACCAACCUCAGACUGUGUAGUAUUGUAGUACCUAUUUAUUGAAAAACAAAACAAAACAAAAAAACCUACAUGAAGUGGACCCAAGGGUCAACUGUAUUUGGAAUUACUUUGGUAUUACUACCCUGAAAAAUACCUAGGGCUAAAAGCCUUCUCCAACAACAUAUGUAAAGAUGGGUCUCAUUCUCCAAGGUGAAGCAUGGACCACGAUGGAAGGGAUGAGGAGGAGAAAAGAUGGAAAGGACAGUGAGGGCAUAAGGAAAGUGAGACCAGAGAAAGGUCAUUCUCAGCUGCCCACUUAAGAUGCCCUCUUCAUGAACCAGAAGUUGACUUCAUAAAUGAAAAGAUGGUUUCUCACCACCCUCUGGACUUUAUAUGUCCAGAAAAGAAAUAGACACCAGCAAUUUCUCCAGCAUAAAUGGGCCUAUUGGGGGUGAGCAGAGAAUUGCAACUUAGGGUCCUUUAAUGAUUUUUAAUUUUAAAGAAAAGGGAGAUAAAGGAUGAAAAGAAAAUGGAUGAGGAAAGAAGUCAAGAAAGAAAAUUGGAAGCAAAGGGGCAUAUGGCUUCUCUCUCUUAAAUGAAAUCACAAAGCACAGCCUUUUGGAGGGAGAUUCAAAGUUAUAAAUCUUUAUUAUUUUAGUUUCUUAAAGCUCGGUUUGUAAAUGAAACAAUUAAAAUAUUCAAAUUGAAAAGCCAAAGUAAAUCCCAAUUAUGAGCUCUUAAUCUGCUAAGAUUUUGUUUUCCUUCCCUUCACAUACAGAAUUAUAUUUCUUGUCAACUUCCAUGGAAAUCCUAGUGAUGAAGUUGCUUUCCAUGGAAUGGAGGCUGGGAGGAGGGGUCUUUUCACAUCAUGUCCCUUCAGACAGUCCUGAGGAGUUUUAAUGUGUGGGGCCGUCCAUGCCUUCCGAUGGCCGUGAGUUUAGAGAAGAGUCUUCAAAUUAAUGACAACAGUAGAAGAAAAGAAGAGCUCUCAGGCAAAGGGUAUCUCUUUACUCUGACCGGGGCAGGAUGUCAAUCAUGUGAUAUGUUGAAUCCGUAAACAAACAGCAGAGUCUUCUCUGGGGAUUGUAAUCGGGUGAGCUCAGCUUGCCAGGGCGGAUGGGAGGCCCAAGCAGGGGAGGGGAGGAUUUCACCAGUGGUCAGGAGGGAAGGAGAAUCGGGGCUUUCUUCUCCCACUGAAUCCUCUACCCGCUGCUCACCAACCCGCUGCAUAAUAGGAGGGAAACGGCAAGCUGUCCGUUUCCACUGUCAUUUUCCACUGUGGGUGCAGACAGACAUUAGACAGACAUUAGAUGGUGGGGCUCGGGAAGGAGCAGAGUGAGCAGGGCGAGAAUCUGGGCUUCCCCAGGUCCUGCCUUUACCUACCUUUUCACCAGCCACGAACCAGAGUCUGGCUUGUCAUCAGCAUCCAGUCGGCUGAUAUAUUUCAGGACCACCUUGGCACUUUCUAGAUGCCCUCGAAUCAAGCCAAAUCCUCAAAAAGCUGCCAACUUAGACUAUAUUGUCUUCCACUCUUUUAAUUAAACUGAUCUAAUUAAAUUUCUCACCACCUUAGAGCAUGCAGUCCAGGAGUCAGAUCUAAUUUGAUUUAUUAAAAUAAUGUGCUGUUGAGUGAAAUUUAUAUCUGUCUCAUUAGGUCUGUCUGUCGAUGGUUCACUCUGAAGCCUGACCAGGAGGGGGUUUCGCCUCCAUUCUUUCCUCAGAGGCACAGGCCAUGUCCCUCCCUGCUCCAGCUUCCUCAGGGGGAAACCCAAAAGGAAGCCAGAGUAGAAUGGAGCGGCAGCAGCAGCAAGGCAAGGGAUGCAGGCAGAGAGCCAGGAAGACCGAAGGGAUCAUAGGAAAGGAGGCCAGAGGGAAACCAGAGAGGAGAAACCAGAUCUGAGAAGUGCAUAGAUGCGUCCCAAGAAGAGUGUUAUGAAAAGCCAAGCCUGGCAACUCCUAUGAGCAUGGGGUGGAAUCCUAGUCGCACGCAAGACAAAUGGGCCAGCAGCGACAUGAACAGUCUUCACGUGUCCGAGAUAACACAAAGGAUCAGAUUCUCAAAUCAGACUCACAUGAAUCAGAAAUCUCAUCCACUGUUAAGCUCUACUAAUAAUUUAAAGGAUCCAGGUAAUUUUGAGGCUUCGGUGAAGAAGCAGGAAGUCUGAGACCAUUAACAACGCUCUUCAGAUCCUUUCUUGCCACACUGGAUGCUCUCUGGACCCAGAAUAAUAAAGGGAGUCUCUAAGCAACAGACUCAUAAUGAGUAGAUCGCCUGGAAUAUGAAUUUAGACUCUGAAGUCAUGAGAAUUUGGCUCAUUGGAUGACAUAAGGAUUAUGAUGCUGACUUUUCUCAGUGACUCAUUGUGACCUGAAUGUUAAAGAAUCAAACCCAGAUCUUGGUAUUUGAAUGAUCCCCUCCAUGUUACUUUCGGAUUCACUCUUCUUCUUCUGAAUUGGCCAAAAGCACAAGACAUAAGAAUGCCAGUGACCUGCCACAGGACACUGUUUUGGCAGAGGUACCCUCCAGAUCAGCAAAGAUGAAGGUCUCAGCACACUAAUCUUUUUGUUUGUUUGUUUGUUUGUUUUUUUG